rnacentral:rRNA from 1 species
CCAAGGAGUUUAUCGUGUAAGCGAGUCAUUGGGCGAGCAAAACSUAAAGGMGAAAUGAAAGUAAAAGAGUGUUGAGUAUUAAUUGAAUUAUUAAUUCAUUAAUAUUCACUCUUGGGGGAAGAUAUAAAUUUUCAAUGAUAUGAAUAUAUAUAUAUUUAUUCUUUGUUAAUUUUUCUCAUUCCCAGGGCGCUUUAAUUAAACGCAUUGCGUUUAAAAGCGCACCCAGAGCUUACACGAUGAUACCCGAAAGAUGGUGAACUAUGCCUGGCCAGGACGAAGCCAGGGGAAACCCUGGUGGAGGUCCGCAGCGAUUCUGACGUGCAAAUCGAUCGUCGGAGCUGGGUAUAGGGGCGAAAGACCAAUCGAACCAUCUAGUAGCUGGUUCCCUCUGAAGUUUCCCUCAGGAUAGCUUGCGCUCGAUUUUUGAGUCUCAUCUGGUAGAGCGAAUGAUUAGAGGCAUUGGGGUCGAAACGACCUCAACCUAUUCUCAAACUCCAAAUAGAUGAGAACCCUGGCUUUCUUAAAAUUGAAGCCGUGGGUAAUCAGGAUCAGAGUGCAAAGUGGGCCAAUUUUGGUA